UGCAGAUUUCUCUUGCUUUGCAGACCUUGCACUAACAUCCCCAGAGGAUUAUUAUAUUGAGGGUCAAGGUUCAUCGCUCCAAUGUGUGCUUACACCUGGUGAUCCCUACAUGCCGUUACCAAAUGAUGAAAUAAUUAAUAGAGUUUCAAGACAGGUUUUAGCUUUGUUCCCAUCUUCUCAAGGUCUGGAAGUUACUUGGUCAUCUGUUGUCAAAAUUGGGCAAUCUUUAUAUCGUGAGGCACCUGGUAAAGAUCCAUUUAGACCCGAUCAGAAAACACCUGUGAAAAAUUUCUUCCUUGCUGGCUCGUACAC